UGGUACGCGAGCUGGGUUUAGAACGUCGUGAGACAGUUCGGUCCCUAUCUGCCGUGGGCGCUGGAGAAUUGAGGGGGGCUGCUCCUAGUACGAGAGGACCGGAGUGGACGCAUCACUGGUGUUCGGGUUGUCAUGCCAAUGGCACUGCCCGGUAGCUAAAUGCGGAAGAGAUAAGUGCUGAAAGCAUCUAAGCACGAAACUUGCCCCGAGAUGAGUUCUCCCUGACUCCUUGAGAGUCCUGAAGGAACGUUGAAGACGACGACGUUGAUAGGCCGGGUGUGUAAGCGCAGCGAUGCGUUGAGCUAACCGGUACUAAUGAACCGUGAGGCUUAACCUUACAACGCCGAAGGUGUUU
rnacentral:rRNA from 1 species